rnacentral:rRNA from 1 species
GACGAACGCUGGCGGCGUGCCUAAUACAUGCAAGUAGAACGCUGAAGGAGGAGCUUGCUUCUCCGGAUGAGUUGCGAACGGGUGAGUAACGCGUAGGUAACCUGCCUGGUAGCGGGGGAUAACUAUUGGAAGCGAUAGCUAAUACCGCAUAAGAGUAGAUGUUGCAUGACAUUUGCUUAAAAGGUGCAAUUGCAUCACUACCAGAUGGACCUGCGUUGUAUUAGCUAGUUGGUGGGGUAACGGCUCACCAAGGCGACGAUACAUAGCCGACCUGAGAGGGUGAUCGGCCACACUGGGACUGAGACACGGCCCAGACUCCUACGGGAGGCAGCAGUAGGGAAUCUUCGGCAAUGGACGGAAGUCUGACCGAGCAACGCCGCGUGAGUGAAGAAGGUUUUCGGAUCGUAAAGCUCUGUUGUAAGAGAAGAACGAGUGUGAGAGUGGAAAGUUCACACUGUGACGGUAUCUUACCAGAAAGGGACGGCUAACUACGUGCCAGCAGCCGCGGUAAUACGUAGGUCCCGAGCGUUGUCCGGAUUUAUUGGGCGUAAAGCGAGCGCAGGCGGUUAGAUAAGUCUGAAGUUAAAGGCUGUGGCUUAACCAUAGUACGCUUUGGAAACUGUUUAACUUGAGUGCAAGAGGGGAGAGUGGAAUUCCAUGUGUAGCGGUGAAAUGCGUAGAUAUAUGGAGGAACACCGGUGGCGAAAGCGGCUCUCUGGCUUGUAACUGACGCUGAGGCUCGAAAGCGUGGGGAGCAAACAGG